AUAACUUAUCUACUAUUGUAAUAUAUUAGUAAUUUACUUGCGACUUUAUUAAUUCGGGCAAUCUACUUGCAUUCUUUAUCAAUCUGUCUAAUUCCGUGUCACGGAGGUGUAAUAAAAUAUAAAAAGAUAAUAAAAUAAAUAUUCACGAUUUGUUGAUAAAAUAUCACGACUCACGACUCAUGAUUGUAUUUACGUAUUGGUUUGCAGAAAACCAUGUAUAUAAACGACAAGAGUACUUAGCUUUUUUAUUAAACUUAUUCGUAAAGCUAUUGGUUCACGUAUUCGCAGACAGUUUUAAAGUUGUCAUCACAUUAAUCUUUUUUUAACAACUCUACAAUGGUGUCCGGAAAGUUAAUUGUUCUAAUUAUUGCCAUAAUUCUAAUUGUCACUAUCAGAGAAUCGAAUAGCAUCCGGAGUCUAGUAGUUCAUGGACAUUGCCCAUCAGGUUUGAUGCCGUUUGGUAGAUUUUGCAUUGACGAAGACAAAACUCAGUAGCGUUUCUGUGAGACUAGGGCAAAGCGGGGCUAGUUGAUCAUAGGGGCAAGGUGUGCAAUCGAAAUAUCUCGAAAACUAAACAACUUACAACAAAAGUUUAAAUGGUGAAAAAAAAGGGUUCCGGGAGGAGAACACAUUGCAUGAUUAUCAAUUGCCAUCCGUCGCUCAGACUUAUUAACAGAAAGCUUUGUUUUUUUUGCGGCAAAAAAAAAACAGGUCUUUAAAAUUUUUCUCCUAUACACGGAAAGAAAAAUCACUGUUACUGCAACAGGAGGCGGUCUUGUUGCAGCAACGUGAUAAAAUCCUGUUAUAGCAACAGGAUUAAUACCGUUGUUGCGAAUUAAUAGUAAAAUAUAGUUACACAGUAAAAAAUUUGGUGUCAUUGCGUCAAAAAACAGUGUUAAAAAUAUUUAACACAAAAAUUUUUAACAUUGAGUUUUUUGACGCAAUGACGCAAAAUUUUUUACUGUGUAACAAUAUUUUACUAUUAAACGCAACAAUAGUAUUAAUCCUGUUGCUGCAACAUGGCUGCCUCCUGUUGCAGCUACAGUAAAUUUUUUUCUGUGUACUCGUAUACAAAUACUUUUUCGUGAUCACGUAAGUAUUCAAAGAUAACUAAAUUAUUGCUCUUUCGAUUCUAUAUGAUGAUUUAUUUUUAACCCUUAUUAUUUUUUUAUAAUUUAACUUUUACUCCGUUGCCUCAUUUGGGGCUAGUUGAGCAAGGCGCGCUCAAUGCAUUAAAUGCGUGCCUAGCGUUGGUCUAACCUAUAUGUUUUUAUACAUGCAAUUGUGAUAGUUACAAAAAUGAUUUAAUAAUUUGCGAUUGUUGAUCAACUAGCAAUAUUUUUUGUCUCAUAAUUAGUCACUACUUUAAUUCGAUAUUUAGUUACUUAAUAAUUAUUGUUAAAUAUAUAAUUUUAAAUACAAAAAGUGUAACAAUAAUCCAAAGAUUGGGAAGUUUUAAUUUUGUUUGAUUUUAUUUUAAAUAUCAAAGUUAUAAUAAUAAUAUAAGUAUGCAACAAUCAUAAUAAAUAAAUACUUGCUUGUUAAUUACAACUUUAUGUUGUAUUCAUAUGAUUUUGUACCGUAAGAUGGACGGUGGUGGUAGAAGGUUCAUCCAAGUCAUAAAGUUUCAGGUCGGGAACUUUGUGUACUUUAAAGGAGAAUCGGGCUUGUCGAGAGCUUGGGUUCGAACCCAACUCAAAACAUCCCCAGUUCGGUCCGAUCAAUCGAUUCUACAUAAAAUUUCCUUUAAUUUGAUAUAAUUUUUUUUUUUUUUUUUUUUUUAUGUUUUUAAUCCUAGUUUGUAU